CCUGACUACCGAGGUACUUGGCCAUGCUGUAAUCAGCCAAGGGGUGUUCAAACAGACCCAUGGUGAACUUAACCCUUAGGAUCCUUGCCACUGCGUCGUCGAUCCGGCUCAUGGGAAUGAAUUUCCUUUCCACCAAGGAGCAUGAUUUGAAGUUUGAUGAUCAACCAACCAUGUCUAUUCCAGCGCCAACUCCGGCCAAGAUGGAAUACGUGUAGUUGAGAUGUGGCGGGGAAGUGAUUCUGUCGAUUCCUUGCCAGUCCGAGAUGACAAAUCCCUGCAACGCAAGGAAUGCGUAUGAGGAAGCCAGUGAUGAGAUCGCGGUUGGCGUGCAUCUUGACGCCGUUCCAGCUGGAGUAGGAGACCAUGACGGAGGCGACUCCUUUGAUGACAGCGUUGUAGUAGGGAGCCAUGUGAAUGCCAAGCAGAUCAUGCCUGCUCGCCAGCGUGUUGUUCUCGUUCCUUCCCCUGGUAGUUCCACCAUCGCCUACGUAGUGCUUGGCACAAGCCACCACUUUCUGCCUGACAAGUUGUGUGAUAAAUGAGAAGCAAAGAAUUGGAAAAAGAAAAAAUAAAUGAUGUAAUAUACUUACUGUCCAGCAACAAAGGGAACAGCCUUUGGAGAAUUGGAAGGGAUCUCUCCUUGUAAUCCAGCUCCAAUGGCGACGUUAUGAGGGAAAACGGUGGCUCUGUAAACGUUGUUGUGGCCGUGGACGGCGUCAAUCCCAUAAAGCAUGGGUAUCUUGAGACGGGUGGACAGGGAGCCCUUCUGGAAGCCGUUCACCAUGUCCACCCAUGCCUCUGGUGACGCCUUGCGCGACGGAACACUGCCUCCGCCGCUCAGCACGCUGCCUUUUUUUCAGACAUCAGAAGCAGAAUUAGCAGAGAACGUUUAAUACUUUUGAGGUUUGUAAAGAGGUUUGAUUUAUCAUUUUACCUAUGUAGUAUUUGUUUAGAACAUCGGCAGAUGCUACGAGGCGCUCGAUUUGUGUCAUUUGGCCUAUUUUUUCCUGGA